UACGGAGGUUGCGAGCGUUGUUCGGAAUAACUGGGCGUAAAGGGAGCGCAGGCGGUCGAAUAAGUCUAAAGUGAAAUCCCGGGGCUUAACCUCGGAAGUGCUUUGGAUACUGUUCGGCUAGAGUUCGUGAGAGGAAAGCGGAAUUCCAGGUGUAGCGGUGAAAUGCGUAGAUAUCUGGAGGAACACCGGUGGCGAAAGCGGCUUUCUGGCGCGAUACUGACGCUGAGGCUCGAAAGCAUGGGGAGCAAACAGG
rnacentral:rRNA from 1 species